rnacentral:rRNA from 1 species
UACGUAGGGCGCAAGCGUUGUCCGGAAUUAUUGGGCGUAAAGAGCUCGUAGGCGGCUUGUCACGUCGGGUAAUGGAAAGCCCGGGGCCUUGAACCCCGGGUCUGCAUUCGAUACGGGCAGGCUAGAGUGUGGUAGGGGAGAUCGGAAUUCCUGGUGUAGCGGUGAAAUGCGCAGAUAUCAGGAGGAACACCGGUGGCGAAGGCGGAUCUCUGGGCCAUUACUGACGCUGAGACGCGAAAGCUAGGGUAGCAAACGGG